ensembl:lncRNA
UUUUUUUUUUUUUUUUUUUUAUGAGUCUCACUCUGUCUCCAGGUUGCAGUGCAAUGGCAUGAAGCAGACUCACAAAAAAUUGCAAUAUAUAGGUGUUAAAAAUAAAAGUAUUUUAAAGUUGUAUUAACUGCACAAAGGGGUCAGAUAAUUGGCAGGUGUGAUUCCAGCAGCUUUGGAAGAGAGGAAUUUGACUGGCAUCUUAAAGGAUAAAUAUAUCAUCAGGCAAAGGGGAAUGUCAUAGGAUGAAAGACCUUCAGCAAAUAUACAGUGGUCUGAAGGAGCUUGAGAUCCCAGGAAGAUAAACUGAAAGCAUUUUGUUUGCUCAUGUCAUUCAUAUGUAUAUAUACACACACACAUAUAUAUAUAUGGACACACAUAUAUAUACACACACACAUAUAUAUGUGUAUAUAUAUACACACAUAUAUAUAUAAUCUACAGCAUGUAAUGGAGGAGACAAUAUUGGUAAGGAAUGUUGGAGCAACGUGCAGUAGGACACAUAUGUCACACAAAGAGUUUGAAUUCUAUCUUGCAAGCAAUAAAAAUGCAUAUUUUGCAAGCACUACAGUACCAUUCCUUAUAGAUUAUGAUUACCAUUUGUCCUUCAAUGUGUUGGAAAGGCUAAAUUAGAAAAAGACUAAAGGAAGGGUGUUAACCAAGUCAGAGUCGGGGAACCGAGAGGAGAAAACAGUUGAGACCUCUCUAGUGCUGGAACUAGCAGAAUCCUAGGCUGAUUAUUUAAAUACAGUGGUGUGAGUGCUCAAAGAAAGCAAAGAGGCAGAAAGAGUCCAGGCCCAGAAAGAGUGUUAAAAACCAGCAGCUUCCCAGAAAGACUUUUGAUGUGCAAAAUCUAACUCUCCUGGAAAACAUUCUUAUUCAGUACCAGAACUUACUAGGCCUCCGUAAAUAUUUGCUGAAUGAAAUCAAAACCAAACCAACAAAGGCCCAUCCUAUCCCAACUAGGGAGUUUAGAAGACUUUCUGAGCCAGCAUAGUUUUAUAUUAAGAAAAGAAUGACCCAAUACGGAGGUUUAUUAUGUCAUUGAAAUAAUAAGAAUUCCCCUAAGGAUAUAUUGAGGUUUUCGUCUAGUUUAGACUUCAUAUCAAAACAAAACAAAACAAAAAUAGACAGGUAUGAUCACCAGUUGGUAUGUGUGUGCUAAAAUGACAUAUAGUUUGGGGUAUUACCAUUAAAAACUUUUGUAUCCUUAACUUUCAGCAGAGCCAAUGAAAAUAAAGCUUAUAUAAUAUCCCCUAAAGCACACAUUUUUAUCUAUGUUAUGGAAAAAAAAUAAGAGCAUAAAUUCAGAAGCCAGUUUACUAAUGCCCUAAUAGAUUAUGACAUAUGUGCUUUUUCAGCGGAAUCUACAAAAUACUUAGAGCAACAUCUCAAGUAUGAAACAAAUUCAUUACUAAAAAUAACCCAACUCAAGACCUUUUAACGGCUCUUUGAGCUCACCCUAUGGGUAUAGACAUAUCUUGAUUCCAUCUGAAACUUUCAAAUCAGAUAAGUGUGCAGCCAUCAAAUAAUCACAAAAAGAAUUUUUAUAAAAAGUAGGAAUGGAUGACCAAGGGCUUUAAAAGACAGGAAUUUUGAGGUUUCCAAAAUUUUCCCUUGAUUUGCCAUAAUAAUAUAUGCAUCCACUGAGAAGUUGUGAUAGCUCCAUCAUGAAAAAUCUGACAGCCAGUCAGUCUCAAGGAUGGUCAAUUUAUUAAGAGGCAGGAAAACAAUUAAGAGUCCAUAGAGUCAUGCUCAGGGGUAAUUCCUGACUCUGCCAUUUAUAGGAUUUGUAGCUAUAGACUAAUCACUUAAUUACUCUUGAAGCUAAGUUUUAAGAUCUAAAAAUUAAAAUAAUGCACCUUACAGGGUUAUUUUAAAGACAAAAUGCAAACAUAUGUUA